GAUUUCUAGGAGCUUAGUUUCACUAGCUGUUUUUGACUAUGCAAGAGGAACAAUGAGGAGUGAAUGAAGUUUCAGUUUUAAUCUUUACCUUAAAAUCUGCUUGAAUACCAUCUGCACUUUAGAGAGAAUAUUCAGUACUAUGCCUGUUCUACACGCUUCGUGCUGUUCUCUGCUACAAACUUCUAUUCUUACUAAAGAAGAUACAGCAUUGUAACCAUAAGAUUCAAAGCAUGGACAAAAAAUGUAAAUGACUUACCAAGGAUGAAAAAGUUUCCCCAUCUGGAAGACAGUGAGGCCUGGUCAGUAGGGCAGAUGACCUGUUUAUGUUCCUGGCAUUGUUUCUGAUGUUUGGGGAAACAUCAAGUCAUUUCUCUCUUUGCUUCCUUUUCCCUAUCCUUAAAAUAGGAAUAACAAUAAUAAACACAAGCUCUACAGCCAGAUUCAUGGUUAAGUCCAGACUGCAGAAAUAAGCAUAUCUUUGCUUCAAAGAGCAUAUUAGCCAGGAUGGAGUCUCCCUAUAAGGCGUGAGAAAUAAACAGCUGCAGAACAACGCUUUCAAACAAAAAACCUCUUCCUCAUCUGAACCAUCAUUCAAAACACAGAAUGAAAGUAACUGAAGAAACAUUUUUUAUGAUAUCAUCUGCAGGACUCCUAGAAAAUUCUUUGGAAACUUAUGCAUGUCUGUUUCAGGCUGCCCCUAAAAAAAUGAUGUAUUAAUCUGACAAGAUGAAAUCAAGAUGCACAAAGAGAAGAUACUAACGACUAUUCUGCAAAGUGUUCAGAGGAGGACAGUAAAGGGAAAAGAACCACCCCCAAAGGAAUAGAAGCAAUUAUAACAGUGGAAUAAAGACAGGAGGAAUGAAGGUAUAACGAAAUACCAUGGCUGAUGCAUGGCUGGCAGUGAAAGAAGGAAGCCACCAGAGGAAGUGUUGAGAAGUAGCUCAUGGUGGUGAUGCCAGGAGAGGUAAAAGGGUCCACUGAUAACAUACAAACUGGAGUCUGCUUGCCUUUGUCUGUUUGAGAUGCAACAUCACUGCUAACAAGGGAGACUAAGAAGUAAUGUGAAGCCAGAUAGAGGUAUUUGGGUAUGUGUACGAUAAAAUCUCAAAGCUGCAAGCAAAGUCUGGGAUUACGUAACAGGAAGUUCUCCAAACACAGCAGCUUGCCAUGUAAGGAGAGCUGGCCUAAGCAGAGUGAGGAGGGACAGAGCAAUUGUGCCUGAGUACAAGACCUCUGCGAAAAUACAAUAGAAUGCCUUACCGGGGAACCUUUGCUAACCAAGACAGAAGAGAAAGAACUGAAGACUGGUCAUCUGUACAGAGGAGUGACAAGGUCUCGUCUCCCCUGGAUACUGGCCUCCCCCUGCUUUCCGAGCAGGAUGAUCUGGUGUCUGUGGCUGCUGCUGAGGAGAGCACGAGCCAGCGGCACAGCAGGAGUUACUUCGCUGCAGCUCCUCGCCGUCCUGCGUACAGCACUUUGCAGCCAUCUUGGCUGUGGGCUGAAAGCCUGUCAGGACUCACAGCAAGUGUCAGCUGAUCAGUCUGUAGCAAUAAGGCUAUGAAAUGCCUAACAUACUUGUAUAAAACUUGUCAGUGAUGGUGCAGCACUCCUUUGAUGUAAACCUGGCACCAACUCCUUGUCUUCAGUAAGUCAGAUCUCUACAUCCAUUCAUAGGUUAAAGCACCUGUCAUCAUUCAUGUCCCCUUUUUGAAUACCAUUGUAAAACUUCAACUGACUUUAGUAUGGCUCCACGUAAGAGUGAGGAACCUCCCUGUGCGGGUCCAGGCUAGUAGUCAAGCUACAGUAUGUGAGAUAAAACUAUUUAAGUGUAAUGUAUUUGCAAGACUUAAAUCUGGUUGCCGUUAUUUUUUCCGUAUCUAUAAUAUUCAGGAUCUUAGAACCAUCAAGGUCUCCUAUGUACAGAAAUUAUUGCAGAGCUCAGAGACAUUCAGCCCCAGAGUUGAGGCUCAUUUCAUAACUACUCCUUUUUUCCAAAUAUUUUCAAACAGUUCAAUAAAGACAAUGAUUUCAGUGAAUAUGUAAUAUUAUCUAUUAAAUAGAAACAUGUUACUGUACUUAAAAUAUUCUAAGUAAUUGUGAAAGCAGACAAAGGUGAGCAUUGACAGUUUAAGUUGAUACACUUCUGGUGUAUCUCCACAUUUGUUUAUCAGAACUUCAGUGAAAAUCAUUUUAGUUAUUUAUGUUUACUUGGAAAAAAAUUACAUAACUGAUUUAAAUAGAAUUUCUGCUCUAUGCAAAUAAAUAGGUUACUCCUAAAUUCUCUUCUGAUGUAUGAAUUUGUUUCAGAAAUUGCUUCAGAAUAGAUUCAGAAAUGCUGCCUUUGACUUCUGUAAUUUAUACUUCAAGUUCAAAGCCUCUGAAGCCAAAUGAAAAUGCAUUGUUGAUUUCAAUAGCAUCUGAAUUGGUCCUCAAGCAACUAAAUAUUUCUUCUUAAAAGAAGUCUCUGGAUGACUUUGAGGAGAAUCUUUGCUAUUAAAAAAAAAAAAAAAAAAAAAAGAAAAGAAAAAAGAAAAAAACUUUGAGGAACAAAUUUCUGAAUAGGGUUCUUAGACACCAGAAUGGCAGACCUGUGCUUCCUAGCACUAAAUAACCUCAUUUCUGAACAAACUUUGUGAGCAGAGAUCAGUACUGAUUUGGACAUUUUUUAAAAGAUAGUGAUGCUAAAUUUGAUGUCCUAAUUAUAAGCUGGCUAUGCUAAUGCCUGAUUGUACACAUUUAAAAGUUAGUGUACAGAGGUUACUGUAUUUCUGUGGCCAGUGGAGAAAAAGGAAGACUUGUACAGAAAACUAUCUAAAGAGCCUAAGUGAAUCAAAUUUAAAAAAUAAACACCUUGUCUUUCCACUGAGUGUAGAGGGUGGCUGUGGAGACUUGUUCUGUGAAUAACUCCUAGUGUCCUACAGUAUAAUGAAGUUUCACACUUGGGCAAGAGCUGUCAUUUGCCAUUUUAAAAGUAGUUGCAUUUCAGUGAUGGGUAAAUUUCUGCAUGCUUUGUAUUUUACAGGAGUCUCAGAAUCUGUGUUUGUAGAAUACUUUUUACCUCUUGAAGGAUGCUAAAUGAAGGCAGGAUGUCAUUUUUAUUAUUUUUAUUUUAAAACAUAUUUGAGAGAAGUAUUGUCAUACGUAGAUCCCAGGAAACAGAAUCAAUCCCUCCACAAAAUGUUUUCUGUCUGAAAGCUUUGAAAAAGCUACCUGCCAUGGUGGUGCUCUGUCGCAACCUUAUCCUGGAAGGACAAUGUGGCAGUUUAAUUUCUGAUCCAGGACUGUUCAGUUCAGUAGGAAGCUUCCCUUGGCCUCGGUGUCCACUAUGGCAGAAUCACUGCCGUUUGCGCCACAGCUGCCCCAUCAACUAAAGUUUGUGACACUUAUAAUAGUGAAUAACUAGCCUGGAAGAGCACGAUGAUGACUGAAGCCAGAAGAUAUUCCGUUAUAUAGAGACAUGUUAGAAAUCACAGAUCUGACUUGCAUCCAAACCCUCCGCCUUGUUUAGCCUUUUGAGUUGUCUGGUUUCCCCAGUGUAUAUAUACGUUCUGCACUUCCUCGAACUCCUACCUGCGGCAUUUACCUUCCCCUGGGGAGCCUGAUGAAGUUCUGCAUUUGUAAAUCAGUUUGAGUUCUUGGGUGAAAGGGGCUCUGAAAUUGCAAAUCACUGUUAAUAUGUUGUCCCAGAGUUAAUUAUUAAGGCUUUGAAUUAUGUAACAACCCUACUUUAAAACUGUCAUCUUUCCUAUUACAUCAUAGAAAUAGCAGAAUUGGCUCUGUGGCUUUUAAAAAGUGACUGCUGAGGUACUUAUUGACAUUGGUUCCAAGACAUUUUUCACAGAGCAGUGAGAACUCCUGGAGUAUGGAAGUGUCAUAUUUUUCCUAGUAUUAAACAAUUGUUGAACUAGAAACAUAACUCUUGCCAGAUAGUUAUUUUAUGUGCGUGACUUCUUGAUAGAAAGAAAAUGAACAGGCAUUUUUCUUUCAUUAAGUAUUUUAGAGAUUGUCCUUGUUUGAUGAUCUAAUUAAUUAAAAUAAGUUUAUGAGCAGCUUAUGAGGGUAGAAAAAUAGUUAAUUUGAAGUGUUGGAUAAAGCACAUUUUUUUCCAUUUUUAUGUGUUAAUGAAUACUUUAAAUUGCUAGCACCCGUAAUGUAAUAACAGAUCUUCUAGAAAAUAGUACUAGACAAAUUUAUAACACUGAAUAAAUAAUCAUCUCAACAUCUUUGUGAACUAACAAAUUACUCCUGUUUCUGUAGGAAAACAUAUUUUAAGGCAGUAUUAUGCUAGAAUUUUACAUAUAGGGAAGGAUCUUUAACACCAUUAUUGAACGUUCAGUUAUAUUUACUGGAAAAUAAGUGAAUCAUAAGAGUCAAAAAAAAUAACUUCCAAAAUGUUUCUAAAACACUUGGUAUUCUUUCCAAAAAAUGUGAAUACAUUCCUAUCUCCCACACAGCAUUGCACCCAAAAGUGAAAGUAAAGUCCAGAUACGCAUUUGCAGUCUUCUUCAAGACAGGCACUUUAAAUAGUUAGAACAUUUUCAGGCUUUCGCAAAGUUUGAUAUGGUUUGGAUCUACAGUUUCACUUCGCUGUGUCAGAGUGAAUGGGUCAGCCGUAAGUGUGGGAUCUUCAUUUGAAAUUUGGUUGGAGCUGUUGGGGCUGCCAGGUCAUUGAGGCUUUUCACUAGUGUGGGGUGAACACAUCUUUUUAAUUCCAGAUUGGUCCUUUGAACUGUUUCCAGUGCACCAACCAGCAUGAAGAGCUGCCACACCGAAAGGUUACAUUGUUUUUAUUCUUCCACUACAAAGCAAGCGCUUACACAAAAGUCUCUCUUUGAAGUAAAUCAUACAAUACAUAGUUUUCCUCCAAUUAUGUUAUGUAAUGCUGUUUUCUGUUUAUUUAAGCACAGAGUGUAUUUCUGAACUGGACACACUUUCUGUGACUGCUGCUGCUUAUGUAUCUGCGACUGCACAAUACAUAUGUACCUAGCAGCAUUGCUGAAAUCCAGCAACUUCUGCACAGAGUUUUAGCCAAAGCUCCUAACACGAAUUCUAGUCUCUAAGGAAAAAUACUGAGAUCUCCAGCUGCACAGAUUGGAGUUGGAGAUGUUUGUUUUUAAAUAUUUUACCUAAAAAAUAAAAGUAAAGUAAAAUGUAUGUAGGAUAGGGGAGUUUGAGAGGAUUAUUUGGAGAGUGAAUGACCUUGUCAGAAAGCUAACACUCAGGAAAUGCAGGUAUUUUAAACCUUUAAUAUGUAGAGAAAACCAUUAUGCUUUCUGCUGCAGAGCUUUCCGAAUGGCUUUCUACUUCUGCAACUUCUGCUACCAGUUUUUUACUAGUUUACAGUAACAAGAUGUUCAAAUCUCUCAUGCUACACUUUAUGUGUAAGUAUAUGAAGAUUACUUUAAUGAAUAUCCUUUUCUUCAGCCCUUCUUCAGACCAGGUCUUUACAAGGGCAUUAAUGUUACAAGAUGUGAAAUGUGGGCUUGUGCAGUAUUCCCCCCAAUGCAGUGGUCUCAGAAGGGACAAAGUUGCACCCGAGCUGCUGCUUUGUUUAACAAGUGUGCACCAUGUACAGCUCUCAGCAGUCAGUAACCUCCUUUUAUAUGUGGUCUCAGUUCCCUACAGUGAAAUGAUCUUUGAAGUUGAUGGUAUAACAUUGACUUUUAUAGAUUAACACGUUGCUGUCUAGUUUGUGUAGACACCUGCACGAUCCUCCUUCCUGGGCUCUUUGAAAGCAUGUUUCUUCCUUGAAGGUGAAGUAACUAUUACUGCUGCAUGUCUGCAGUGCCCAUAACCGUUUAAUUCAAUCUAAAGAAAUACCUUUUCUUUUUUUCAUUAUACUUCAUCUCUUGCCUGUAUCUUUCAAAACAAGGUUGCCGCAUGGGUUGCGGUAUGAGUGAGUGAGAAAGCUACUGGUGUUCAUGCCUCUUCUUGAGAAAAUGUGCAGAGGAACUGCUCUCUGCUUUUUCGUGUGCUCUUGCUCACCUUAUAAUUGUUUCAGUGUGAAAUGAAAUUAAAUUGAUCUGUAUGUGU